rnacentral:rRNA from 1 species
AUUGAACGCUAGCGGCAGGCCUAAUACAUGCAAGUCGAACGCGGGGUAGCAAUACCUCGAGUGGCGCACGGGUGCGUAACGCGUAACCAACCUGCCCUUGACUGGGGGAUAGCCCGCCGAAAGGCGGAUUAAUUCCGCAUAAACCAGCAGCCUGGCAUCAGGCAACUGGUAAAGAUUUAUUGGUCAAGGAUGGGGUUGCGUGACAUUAGCUAGUUGGCGGGGUAACGGCCCACCAAGGCGACGAUGUCUAGGGGACCUGAGAGGGUGAUCCCCCACACGGGCACUGGGAUACGAGCCAGACUCCUACGGGAGGCAGCAGUAGGGAAGAUUGGGCAAUGGGCGAGAGCCUGACCCAGCCAUGCCGCGUGCCGGAUGAAGGCCUUCUGGGUUGUAAACGGCUUUUCUCAGGGAAGAAAACGACCAUGCGUGGUACACUGGCGGUACCUGAGGAAUAAGCACCGGCUAACUCCGUGCCAGCCGCCGCCGUAAAAC